GUGUCAGCCGCCGCGGUAAUACGGAGGGUGCAAGCGUUGUCCGGAAUCACUGGGCGUAAAGGGCGCGUAGGCGGCUCAUGAAGGCUGUGGUGAAAGUCCGGGGCUCAACCUCGGAUCGGCCGUGGCGACUCGUGGGCUGGAGCACUGUAGAGGCAGGUGGAAUUCCGGGUGUAGCGGUGGAAUGCGUAGAGAUCCGGAAGAACACCAGUGGCGAAGGCGGCCUGCUGGGCAGUGGCUGACGCUGAGGCGCGACAGCGUGGGGAGCAAACAGGAUUAGAAACCCCCGUAGUCC
rnacentral:rRNA from 1 species